UACGUAGGGAGCAAGCGUUGUCCGGAAUCAUUGGGCGUAAAGCGCGCGUAGGUGGCCCGGUAAGUCCGCUCUGAAAGUCAAAGGCUCAACCUUUGAAAGCGGGUGGAUACUGCCAGGCUAGAGUCCGGAAGAGGCGAGUGGAAUUCCUGGUGUAGCGGUGGAAUGCGCAGAUAUCAGGAGGAACACCGAUGGCGAAGGCAGCUCGCUGGGACGGUACUGACGCUGAGGCGCGAAAGCGUGGGGAGCGAACAGG
rnacentral:rRNA from 1 species